rnacentral:rRNA from 1 species
GGGCCCGCAAGGUUAAAAACUCAAAAUGAAUUGACGGGGGCCCCGCACAAGCGGUGGAGCAUGUGGUUUUAAUUUCGAUGCAACGCGAAGAACCUUACCUACUCUUGACAUCCAGAGAAACUUUCCAGAGAUGGUUUGGUGCCUUCGGGAACUCUGAGACAGGUGCUGCAUGGCUGUCGUCAGCUCGUGUUGUGAAAUGUUGGGUUAAGUCCCGCAACGAGCGCAACCCUUAUCCUUUGUUGCCAGCGGUUCGGCCGGGAACUCAAAGGAGACUGCCAGUGAUAAACUGGAGGAAGGUGGGGAUGACGUCAAGUCAUCAUGGCCCUUACGAGUAGGGCUACACACGUGCUACAAUGGCGCAUACAAAGAGAAGCGACCUCGCGAGAGCAAGCGGACCUCAUAAAGUGCGUCGUAGUCCGGAUUGGAGUCUGCAACUCGACUCCAUGAAGUCGGAAUCGCUAGUAAUCGUAGAUCAGAAUGCUACGGUGAAUACGUUCCCGGGCCUUGUACACACCGCCCGUCACACCAUGGGAGUGGGUUGCAAAAGAAGUAGGUAGCUUAACCUUCGGGAGGGCGCUUG